CGUGAAGCCACCACUCCCUGCUGACACGACGGGCCGAUCCGCACUCACUUUCAUUCUGCUGCAGACAGGAUUCAGUCAGCACUUAUAGUAAAGCUUGGUUGGAUGUUUGUAAUCCAUGACAGAAGGAUUACGAAGCCUGUAUCAAAAUGACUUCUGAUAUUCGGUUUGAUGAAGCCAGAAUCUCACUCCUCCAUCUAUAACAUCAUGAUCAUCGUGAUCUCCAGAUGGAGACUCACAUCCUCCUCAUCAGUGACAGUCAAGCUUUACUAUAAAUGCUUCUUGAUUCUGCAAACACAACAACAACACAAAGUCAUUGUCUGAUUGUGAACAAACAUGAUAAAUAAAACCAAAUAAACGUCUACU